GCCUCGUAUCGGAAUGAGUACACUUUAAAUCCUUUAACAAGGAUCUAUUAGAGGACAAGUCUGGUGCCAGCACCCGCGGAAAUUCCAGCUCUAAUAGCGUAUAUUAAAGUUGUUGCGGGUUAAAAAGCUCGUAGUUGGUUCUGUGUGCCAUGCUGUUGGUUCACCGCCUGCCGGUGUAAACUGACAUGUCAUGGAACGUACUGUCGGUGGUGAUUUAAAAGAACCAAUUUCUGGUUUUAAGGUAAAAACUUAAACCAGAAAAAGGACAUCUUUAGUUGCCGAUUAACUCCUACCGCGGUGCUCUUUACUGAGUGUCGAGGGUGGGCCGACAUUUUUACUUUGAACAAAUUAGAGUGCUUAAAGCAGGCAAAAAUCUGCCUGAAUAGUGGUGCAUGGAAUAAUAGAAUAGGAUACUUGGUUCCUUUUUGUUGGUUUUUAAGAAUCCAAGGUAAUGAUCAAUAUGGACAGGCGGGGGCAUUCGUAUUGCGACGUUAGAGGUGAAAUUCUUGGAUCGUCGCAGGACGAACUAGAGCGAAAGCAUUUGCCAAGUAUGUCUUAAU
rnacentral:rRNA from 1 species